GUCGCAAACGCAGUAAGCAUUCCACCUGGGGAGUGCGUUCGCAAGAAUGGAACUCAAAGGAAUUGACGGGGACCCGCACAAGCGGUGGAGCAUGUGGUUUAAUUAGAAGCAACGCGAAGAACCUUACCUGACCUUGACAUCCCAAUGACCGGACAGUAAUGUGUCCUUCCCUUCGGGGCAUUGGAGACAGGUGGUGCAUGGUGGUCGUCAGCUCGUGUCGUGAGAUGUUGGGUUAAGUCCCGCAACGAGCGCAACCCCUAUCCUUAGUAGCCAGCAUAAAGAUGGGAACUCUAGGGAGACUGCCGGGGAUAACCCGGAGGAAGGCGGGGACGACGUCAAAUCAUCAUGCCCCUUAUGAUUUGGGCUACACACGUGCUACAAUGGCGUAAACAAAGGGAAGCGAAGUGGCGACGCGGAGCGAAUCCCAAAAAUAACGUCUCAGUUCGGAUUGUAGUCUGCAACUCGACUACAUGAAGCUGGAAUCGCUAGUAAUCGCGGAUCAGAAUGCCGCGGUGAAUACGUUCCCGGGUCUUGCACACACCGCCCGUCA
rnacentral:rRNA from 1 species